UACGUAGGGUGCAAGCGUUGUCCGGAAUUAUUGGGCGUAAAGAGCUCGUAGGCGGUUCGUCGCGUCGGCUGUGAAAACCCGGAGCUCAACUCCGGGCCUGCAGUCGAUACGGGCGGACUAGAGUUCGGCAGGGGAGACUGGAAUUCCUGGUGUAGCGGUGAAAUGCGCAGAUAUCAGGAGGAACACCGGUGGCGAAGGCGGGUCUCUGGGCCGUUACUGACGCUGAGGAGCGAAAGCGUGGGGAGCGAACAGG
rnacentral:rRNA from 1 species